ensembl:lincRNA
CAGGGAGAAAAACCCUUCCAGGAUAGAAGUGGACCUCAAGAGCUAUACAACUUUCCUGAAAUGAAAACAUCUUCUGACCCCAGCUCUAGACCUUAGGAGUGAAGCUGUUUCCCAAAGUGAAAUCGGACAGCUCAUCUGGGGAAGAACAUGUGGUAUGGGCCUUUCUAAGAGGUCAAUCAGAGCGGGUUGUGAUAAUCACCAAGAGAUCCCUUCAAAACUCACACUGAUCUGACCACUUUAGGAGAGACUAUGUAACAAAUCUCUUUCGUCCUAAAAGGGCACAAUCGAGCCUCAUAGGAGAAGCAGAAGUACAUCUAUGUAAUGUGGUCAGCAAUUUUAUUAACAAUUGGCAAACCUACUCAUGCAAAGCCAAUAUUACCAAAUUAUAAAGCAAGUCACUGGAGAAGAAAAAUUAGGCGAUGGGUAGGCUACUCAUGGGAUUUACAAAAUCAUCGUUUGAACCGCUUUUUACGUUUUAAGGGGGAAGGUUUCCAACUCCACUUUAGGAGCAUAUGGAAAUGGAAAAUAUUCCUGAUUUUGCAAUACGACUAUUGUCCUCCCCCAGGAUGACGAAAAAGUAGAGGAAGCAAUCAAAAUAGAGUGCAAAUUAUGAAGAUCCCUUUACCUGCCAUGGCACAUCUGUAGAAACUGGACUUCAAUAGCCAUAGCAUCACUCACUGGAGAGACCACUGUCCAGCUGCAGAAGGGAAACACCUGUAAACACCCUUUCGGUUCAUCUACUAUAGUAUAAGACAAUGAACUGGAAACUAAUGCCUGGCUGUGUGUCGGUCGAUAUUUGGGAGGGGGGCUCGGAAACUCCAUGAAGAACCAGAGCGUGGACCAACUGUAGUCUCUUAGGAAUGCAGGCCCAGUGACUAACGUUUUCUUCUCCAAAUGAUCAGGAAGAUAAAGAAUCAAGGCCAGAAUUCUCCAUGAGUGAUGACUGCCUGGCUUUGGUGUGGCCGACCCCUCACAGGACAGCUACUCCCCAUCUCUUCCUAAAUUCUUAAAUUCUGAGAACUAACGCCUGAUCGUUAUAGGAGGGACUCCAAGGAUAAGGCUGGAGAUUUGGUGGGGGGAUCAGCGGCGCUUUCUGCCAUUAUUCCAAAUCUCAGACAAUUGGAAGAGAGUUUGGUAGUUUCUUCUUCAAAAAACUGAACAUAGUAUUACCAUACGAUCCAGCAAUUGUGCUACUUGGUACUUACCCACAGGAGUGGAAAACCUGCAUGUGGCCCUUUAUAGAAGCUUUAUUCAUAAUUUCCAUAACUUGGGCAUAUGAAGAUGUCCUUCAGCUGCUGAAUGGAUAAACUGAGGUUCAUCCAGGCAAUGGAAUAUGAGGCAGCACUAAAAAGAAAGGAGAUAGCAAGCUAUGAAAAGACAUGAAGGAACCUUACACAUAUAUUAUUAGGUGAAAGAAACCAAUGUGAGAAGGUUACAUACUGUAUGAUUCCAAUUACAUGAUAUUGCGGAAAAGCCAAAACUGGACACAGUUAAAAGAUCAUUGGUGGCCAGAUAUGGUGAGGAGGGAGAGAUGACUAGGCAGAACACGGAGGAUUUUUAGGGCAGGGAAACUUUUUUGUAUGAUGCUGUAAUGGUGGAUAUCUGUCAUUAUAUGCAUUUGUCAAAACCAAUAGCAUGUACGUUACCACGAGUGAAUCCUAACAUGAAGUAUGGACUUGUGGGUGAUUCUGAUGUGCCAGCAUAGGUUCAGCUGUUAUAACAAGCGGACCACUCAUGGUAGGGAUGUUGUUGGUGGGGAAGACGUGCAUGCAUAGGGGCAGGAGGUGUAUGGGAAGUCGCUGUACCUUUCACUCUCAUUUUGCUGUGAAGCUAAAACUGUCUAAAAAU